rnacentral:lncRNA from 10 species
AUGCGCGGGGCUGGGCAUCACUGCCCUAACCAGGAAAGCAGAAAUCAAAGCAACCAUCUUACCAGCAAGGAUCCACUAUCAUCUGUGCCAGUACAAUGCCUUUGUGUGAGAUUUGGAAGGCAGAAGUCAAAUGAAGGCAUCCUUGCUCCAGCAGGAGCAGUAGCCGACGACAGACCACUCACAGGUAAAUAUGAGCCUUUGCUGGGGCCAGGAGACUGGGCCUUCCCCGCCAGCCACUCACCCCAGGACGCUGUUUCUUGAUCUCAGGGUGGUAGUAGCAACUUCCUGAUGCUCACAGCUUCGCAGCUACACAGGCAAACUGGAAAGCAGCGGUGCUUCUCUCGCCUUCUGUUCUCCCAAUCUCUCCUGUGGGUUUUAACUACCUAAUUCCCAGUAUUAACUGCCCAUUUGCUUUAUAUAUUGGUUUCUGUUUUCUGACUGAGGCCCAGGUGAAACACAUAGGUGCUAGAAAUCCCUAUUUGAUUUUUGCAGAAACCAAGACUCAAAGUGGUCAACAGUAGUGGCAAUUCUGUAACUCAAUCCAAGCUUCCUGAUGACAAAUUUACUUUUAUUUUUUUAACCACAGCUAUAUGUACAUUAAAUAAUUGUUGGGUUUUUUGUUUAUACAAAGUCACACUUGUAUAUCUGAAUUAUGAUAAAAGUCCUCAAAGUCUUCUCAAUUCUUUUUUUCUCCUCUUUGCCAAAUUAAAUUUUAUUCUUAGGCACCUUCAUGAACCUACUAGCUGGAGUGCAGUGGCACAGUCUUGGCUCACUGCAACCUCUACCUCCUGGGUUCAUGCAAUUCUCCUACCUCAACUUCCUGAGUAGCUGGGAUUACAGGCGUGCACCACCACACCCAGCUAAUUUUUGUAUUUUUAGUAGAGAUGGGGUUUCACCCUCUUGGCCAGGCUGAUCUCAAACUCCUGACCUCAAGGGAUCAACCCUCUUUGGCGUCCCAAAGUGCUGGGAUUACAGAGGUGAGCCACCACAUCUGACCCAAAUUCUUUAAGUAAGAAGACAUUUUCUGCGAGACAGUUUGGGGAAAGCAGAAUUUUAUUCAAGGGAUAAAAUGUAAGAGCCCUCUUCCUAAAAUGAAAACAAGACCCAGCCAAUGAGGAAAUGGAAGCCCACAUAAUUCCGCCAACAAAGAGGGAGAAUGACCUUUAUUGGAUUCCAACAAUUUACACUAACUGUGUUUCUUCAUUUUCCCUUCACUUGAUUUCCUCAACUGUUUAUCAUUUUUCUAAUGAUGAAUAGUUUUACAAGGCAGUCUCAAGUCCUCUGUGAAAUGAGACAGAGUUUAACAAAAUGUUUCCAUAGACACCCACCCUGCACACAUACUGAGGUCCAGAGAACGUUCCCUGCCACCUGAGGUUGAGAUCUGACCUGACACCUAACUCUACGAUCAAUGCCAGGCCAACAGCAUCAGCCUCACCCGGGAUUGUAUCAGAAACACACUCUCAGGCCCUGCCCCAGACCUGUGUUGGAAACUCUGGGGACUCUGGUGCAUGCUCAAGUUGGAGAACCAUCACUGUAGACAUUUGACUCGAACCAGAAACACUUCCCCACCUACUUCUCCAUUCACGGCCUCUAUACCCACCAUCCUAAGGCUGUAUAAAAGCGAGG